rnacentral:rRNA from 2 species
AGUUUGAUCAUGGCUCAGGACGAACGCUGGCGGCGUGCUUAACACAUGCAAGUCGAACGAUGAACCACUUCGGUGGGGAUUAGUGGCGAACGGGUGAGUAACACGUGGGCAAUCUGCCCUUCACUCUGGGACAAGCCCUGGAAACGGGGUCUAAUACCGGAUAUCACUUCCACUCGCAUGGGUGGGGGUUGAAAGCUCCGGCGGUGAAGGAUGAGCCCGCGGCCUAUCAGCUUGUUGGUGAGGUAAUGGCUCACCAAGGCGACGACGGGUAGCCGGCCUGAGAGGGCGACCGGCCACACUGGGACUGAGACACGGCCCAGACUCCUACGGGAGGCAGCAGUGGGGAAUAUUGCACAAUGGGCGAAAGCCUGAUGCAGCGACGCCGCGUGAGGGAUGACGGCCUUCGGGUUGUAAACCUCUUUCAGCAGGGAAGAAGCGA